CACGUAGGGCGCAAGCGUUGUCCGGAAUUAUUGGGCGUAAAGAGCUCGUAGGCGGUCUGUUGCGUCUGCUGUGAAAACCCGGGGCUUAACCCCUGGCUUGCAGUGGAUACGGACAGACUAGAGGUAGGUAGGGGAGAAUGGAAUUUCCGGUGUAGCGGUGAAAUGCGUAGAUAUCGGAAGGAACAUCAGUGGCGAAGGCGACUUCCUGGACCAAUACUGACGCUCAGGUGCGAAAGCGUGGGGAGCAAACAGG
rnacentral:rRNA from 1 species